rnacentral:ncRNA from 1 species
CUUAUCAAGAGUGGCGGAGGGACCGGCCCUGUGAAGCCCGGCAACCUGCAAAUGCAAGGUGCCAAAUCCGGCGGUGUGACAUCGAAAGAUGAGG